GGCACCAAUGGAAAGUAAGGGAGGCACCGUGGAUCUGCGCCGCUUCCUGGUCAACGCUGAAUUCCCCCGACCGACCGCUCACGUCAGUCAGCCUGUCAUUAUCAGGCUGCUAAAUACCAGCGACCUCUUGCAGCCGCUCAGUGCGAGCCGAAGAUCUUCUACAGUGGAUCUUUGGUGCGAGCCGACUUGGUGCUGCCGGCUCUCGGGAACUUGGCCGUUUGGAGUCACAUCGAUCGAGCGAACCUGGUAACAAAAGCGAAUGAAGCCUUUGAUGCGGACGAGCGUCAAGAGAUCAGAGCCCCAAUCUUCCUCAACAGAUCCAAAAGACUUCAAUGCGGUUGCACAAGAGCUGAGGAAAAUGGGAGACCUUUUGUAUCUCAAACACUUGAUACUCAAUCUUCAACGUGAUGAAAAUUACAAGAAAAAA